UACGGAGGGUGCAAGCGUUAUCCGGAUUCACUGGGUUUAAAGGGUGCGUAGGUGGGAAUGUAAGUCAGUGGUGAAAUCUCCGUGCUUAACAUGGAAACUGCCAUUGAUACUAUGUUUCUUGAAUUUUCUGGAGGUCAGCGGAAUAUGUCAUGUAGCGGUGAAAUGCUUAGAUAUGAACAUAGAACACCAAUUGCGAAGGCAGCUGACUACAGGGAUAUUGACACUGAGGCACGAAAGCGUGGGGAUCAAACAGG
rnacentral:rRNA from 1 species